AGGAAUCGGGAGAGAUCCGGCCGCGGCCGGGCGCCGAAGGGGCAAGACAGGAAACUCUCAGGCAAAAGAACCGGU
rnacentral:ncRNA from 1 species